rnacentral:lncRNA from 1 species
CAGUUGGGGACAGCAGCAACAGCGACAGGGAGAGCAAAGGCAGCAGCGGAGGCGGCGGUGAAGGCCGAGUCCUAGGCGCCCGCCCACGGAUCAUAGCCCUAGGAAAACUUAUAGAUUCCAUCCAAACUGAUAAAAAUCAGAUUUGAUAGAGGAAGACCCUCUGAAGAUCUUGACUGCAGACAGGAAGAAAGAAAUCAAGAAGACCAAAUAGGAUAGAAUGGAAGGCCAGAAGAACAGCCCUGACAGGAUUCACUUUCGAGGAUGCUGGGAUGCUGAAACCUGCUGUUCCAGCUCCCUGAUCAAUAUUGCCUCAAACUGAUGCUGUUCCAGAGACUUGCUUCCAGAACAGCUUCAGAAAGGGCUGCUAAUCCCAGAUGACCUUGUUUCAUCCAGUCUUUCAGAUUGUUCUAAUCGGGACUUCAGUUAAGCCCUGAACUUUCUCCAUUCAAGACUUCAGUUAAUCAACCUAUAGAGACUGGACAACAAUAAUGCCAGCUAGCUUUCUUUUGACUUAACCAUUUUUCCAGUUUUCUCUUGGGCCCCCAAACUGGAACUCUUUUCCCCAAUUCAGCAAGAAGAAACUAUAAGAAGACUGUCAUCCCAAUCACUUAAGUUGGGGUGGAUAGUUUUGAUCAUUUUAUGAAUUAUAGAUAUAUUGUCAUUUUAAGGGAUGAUUACAAAUAAUAAUGGUCUUAGACAGGGAGGAAAUUAAAUAGGGAACUUAGGCUCAGAGAUCUCUAUACCUCUUUUCCUUUUCUCUAUCCUUCUUUCUUAUAUAAGGUAAGGAGGUUGAGAAGAAAAAGGGGGCAUAUAGAAAUAUUAUAAGAAAUUAGACAAAUAGGGGUAGAUUAUUAAAUCUAUUCUUAAAUAAAAACAUUUUACAGUUAGAUACUAACUUAAUUAAUUAUAAUAAAAUGUUUUUAAGGUUAUUCAGAUAGUUAAUAGCUAAGAAUAACCAAUGUUUAGUUGGUCUUCAAAAACCUCAGAGAUAUACAGAGUAUGGCAUUAAAAAUUAUUUCAUUAUUAAAAGAUCUUAUGACUAUGAGACAGGUCUGUUCCUGACAGUAUCCCCAUUCCACUUCAGUGAAGGUGAUGAGCAUCAAUAAUAACCUCCAUAUGGAGUUGCUCCAAUUGUAGCAAGUUAGCCACUGGGCAUAGAAAAUUCCCAUGCUUCAACUACAGACAAAUCUGUUCAGAAAGGACAAAUACAUCAUGAAGAGCCAACCAAGCUCUGCCAAGAAAGGAAUCUAAAUUUUCUUAUGGAGCCUGGUAGGCUUAUUGUGAAACUUUCCUUCUACACAGCCCAGGCAGAACAGAGUGUUGAAAGCCUCUGAAUGAAAUCCUCUAGAAUCCAGUCUAAAAGAGAGUUCUUCUCAUAGUACCUCAAUGCAAAUUUCUUAUCAGUAAUUCCUGGGUUUUCUAUUGCACUGAAGGCACAGGAUGAUCACCCGUAUGAUACUGCCCUAGUCUGAGAACUGGUCCACUCUUGCAUAGAAAACAUGCACCAAAAUUCAGAUAGUUGGAGACCCGGGGAAGAUUAAUGACUUUCAGACACUCUAAUGACUUGGGAUCUGGGUGAAACUUGGAAUUUUGUUUGAAAGUAAAGACAAGCUAUUGGAAAGCACAUCUAUUAUUCUUCAUGAAUAUUUAACCUCAACUCGAAGUUUCCCUUCGCCAUCUUGAACUGCUUCAUUGGCUAUUCCCUAAAAUUCAUCUUCCAAAGGCAACCAUCACUUAGAUUCUAACUGUUGCCUACCACUUGUGCUGAUCUGUUCCUGGGGGAGGCAGACACUGUUGUCCAAAUAGAAUGCGUUCCUGACCUUGUCCUAAAAAGGCCCACACUAGCAGAUGGUUUGGAAGCAUUGCUGACAGUAGCUAAAAUGCUUAUCCCUCACAGAAAAAUGGGAAGUAUUAUCCAAAUAUAACUGAGCAAAUUUCUCUGAAAUAUUGAUGAAAAUACAGUCAUGUUUCAACUUCUAAGAAAAAAAUAGAAGAAAUGAACCCUGGCUUACUGAAAGGCACAAUUUCAAUGUACUAAUCAGAAGGAUGUUGGUUAUUGUUUUCAAUUCAAAAUACUCGAAUACUUUAACAUUGUUUAAUAGGCUUUUCUUUCAGAGAUUAAUUGGCUGAAAAAAUGUCCUUUCAAAACUUAGUUGCAGUUUAUAAUAACUAAAUUUCAGAAGAACAAGUGACUUUUCUUGAAAAUGAAUAAACAAUAAUUAUGAUUUUUUAAAAUU